CUCGCUAGGGUUCGUCCGUCCGCUCUCAGUGGUCAGAACCCAGACCUCGGCCACCGCCCUCUUCUUCUCCGACGAGGAGCCAGCCAUAAUCCUCCGCCUCCGGGUCCUCUCCUCUGGCGCCCGGGUCAGUAGCGCGCCAGCCAGAUCUUUAAAUUUCCAUGCCGAAUUCGAUUCGACCCCGUUUAUUCCAUCUAACGCGGGGGUAAAUUUGAACCGCCUUGCUCUCGCUGGCGCCAGACCUUCCUUCUUCUUCUCUUCAUGGCUGCAGCAGCAGAGGAUUCCACCUACGGAGUGCAAGCCAACUCGGUUUUGCUCCGGUAACGGAGUAAUAUUCGGCGACCUCGUGUAGCUGCAGUCCGAUUAGGACCCCUCCCUUUCGGACUGGUUAUUAUAAAUAGUGGCAGAAUAAGGACGAGCCACGCUCGCCUGGAAGAUUUCGUUCCAAGCCCCGUCAGGUUUCAGCGUCCUCACACUCCAUGGAGGCGAUAAAUACCGAUUGCAGCGACAGUUCCCGCAGCCAACAACUGAAGGACGAAGAUAGGCUCAGCAUGCUGACUGAUGAUAUUUUACUGUCCAUCUUGGGGAGAGUCAGCUCAUGUAUGGCUGCAAGGACAAGUGUGCUCUCUACACGGUGGAAGCAUCUGCCUUGGUUGCUGCCUGAGCUCAGCAUCGAUGUGAAGGAUUUCCUAUCCGCUCCGUGCGCUGACCCUAUUGAGGAAAAUGAUAUGGAACAAGCUAUGAAGUCUUUGACCAAAGCAACCAGGAGUUUGUUGGAUAAACAACAGAGAGAAUCCACUAUCUCAAGUUUGCACCUUGAGCUCUAUCUGUUCAACGCUUUCCUUUGUGAGGUUGGCCCACUGAUAGGUGAUGCAAUCGACAGUGGUUUGUUGAAAGAUUUGGAUCUCACCAUUCUUGAUGAGACAGAGCCUCUUGACCAUAGUGAGGAAGAGAUGCAACAGCGAGCUCAAGACAUCGAUGCUUUUUUCACUGCCUACCCUAGUGUGCUCCACUGCCUCACAAAGCUCUCUCUAAAAAAUGUAGGCUUUGACAAAUUGGACAUGCACCAUGUUCUGUUUGACUGCUGCAAGCAACUGAAGCAUCUAACCCUUCAUCAUUGUGAUACUGGUUCCUACUCUCUCUUUAAGAUUGAUGCACCACACUCAAAACUCUGUGUUCUAGAAAUCGGAAAGUGUCGCUUUCUGAGAAUCGACCUUGUCUGCCUCCCUAAUCUGGAGAAGUUGGUUUGCGAUACUUGGGUAUCUCAGUGUGCCCCGUUGACCUUUGGUUUUGUCCCUUCUCUUGGGGAAUUAGAACUCUCAUGUGGUUCAGAUUGUGAGCAACGCGGAUUUAAAUUAAGUGAGCUUCUACAUGGAGUAACAAGCAUACAUAGUCUCACAUUGGAUUUCCAAGGAGAAACCCUUUGGUUGCAUCCUGAAAUGGAGGAUCUCCGCACCGCAUUCAGCAAGCUAAGGAAGCUGUCUGUACUUGGUAUCUUUGUUGAAUUUGACAUUUUAUGGACAACGGCCUUUCUUGUAGCAGCACCAUCUAUUGAAAUGUUACAUAUUGAGGUAUGGGAACAUACAUGCGAUGUGGGUGAGGCCAGACCUGCUUCCUUCCAUGACAGAAGGAGCCCUCAGUGGGAAAUGCACUUGGAUAGCAGCUCCGAGAACAAGCUUCUGAAAGAGCUAGAAUUUGCUGGAUUUAAAUCGCUAGAACAACAGUUUACAUUUAUAAGAUCCAUGUUGGAGCGAUCUCCCAACUUGCAGAAGAUGGUACUGAAAGAUGAGGUGCAGUGCGAUGACUGCGAUGCCCUUGAGGUACCUCGCCCUUCUAGAUUUCCGAGGAAGAAAGAUGAGCAAGAAGUGGUCGUUAAGCGGAUUAUAGAUGGCAUUUUCUCGCCAGAGAUAAUUUUUCAUGAAUAAGGAGAGAUGACAAUCUCAGGCUAAAUAAUUUUUGAUGCUUAUAAGUUGUACUUCCUCCGUCCCAAAGUUCUACUAAACCAGCGACACUUAUUUUGGGACGGAGUAAGAAACAGUCUGUAUGCUCCAUGUCUUGUCACUUUAAUAUUCCUCCUUGUUUCCUGGACGCUGAGC
rnacentral:rRNA from 1 species